AGCUUUAUAUUUUAUGAAAAAAAUUUUUAUUUGUGGUGUAAAAGAAUUUAAAGUUU
rnacentral:tRNA from 1 species